rnacentral:rRNA from 1 species
GGCUAAUACCGCAUAACGUCGCAAGACCAAAGAGGGGGACCUUCGGGCCUCUUGCCAUCAGAUGUGCCCAGAUGGGAUUAGCUUGUUGGUGAGGUAACGGCUCACCAAGGCGACGAUCCCUAGCUGGUCUGAGAGGAUGACCAGCCACACUGGAACUGAGACACGGUCCAGACUCCUACGGGAGGCAGCAGUGGGGAAUAUUGCACAAUGGGCGCAAGCCUGAUGCAGCCAUGCCGCGUGUAUGAAGAAGGCCUUCGGGUUGUAAAGUACUUUCAGCGGGGAGGAAGGUGUUGUGGUUAAUAACCGCAGCAAUUGACGUUACCCGCAGAAGAAGCACCGGCUAACUCCGUGCCAGCAGCCGCGGUAAUACGGAGGGUGCAAGCGUUAAUCGGAAUUACUGGGCGUAAAGCGCACGCAGGCGGUCUGUCAAGUCGGAUGUGAAAUCCCCGGGCUCAACCUGGGAACUGCAUUCGAAACUGGCAGGCUUGAGUCUUGUAGAGGGGGGUAGAAUUCCAGGUGUAGCGGUGAAAUGCGUAGAGAUCUGGAGGAAUACCGGUGGCGAAGGCGGCCCCCUGGACAAAGACUGACGCUCAGGUGCGAAAGCGUGGGGAGCAAACAGGAUUAGAUACCCUGGUAGUCCACGCCGUAAACGAUGUCUACUUGGAGGUUGUGCCCUUGAGGCGUGGCUUCCGGAGCUAACGCGUUAAGUAGACCGCCUGGGGAGUACGGCCGCAAGGUUAAAACUCAAAUGAAUUGACGGGGGCCCGCACAAGCGGUGGAGCAUGUGGUUUAAUUCGAUGCAACGCGAAGAACCUUACCUGGUCUUGACAUCCACAGAACUUUCCAGAGAUGGAUUGGUGCCUUCGGGAACUGUGAGACAGGUGCUGCAUGGCUGUCGUCAGCUCGUGUUGUGAAAUGUUGGGUUAAGUCCCGCAACGAGCGCAACCCUUAUCCUUUGUUGCCAGCGGUCCGGCCGGGAACUCAAAGGAGACUGCCAGUGAUAAACUGGAGGAAGGUGGGGAUGACGUCAAGUCAUCAUGGCCCUUACGACCAGGGCUACACACGUGCUACAAUGGCGCAUACAAAGAGAAGCGACCUCGCGAGAGCAAGCGGACCUCAUAAAGUGCGUCGUAGUCCGGAUUGGAGUCUGCAACUCGACUCCAUGAAGUCGGAAUCGCUAGUAAUCGUGGAUCAGAAUGCCACGGUGAAUACGUUCCCGGGCCUUGUACACACCGCCCGUCACACCAUGGGAGUGGGUUGCAAAAGAAGUAGGUAGCUUAACCUUCGGGAGGGCGCUUACCACUUUGUGAUUCAUGACUGGGGUGAAGUCGUAACAAGGUAACCGUAGGGGAACCUGCGGUUGGAUCACCUCCUUACCUU